rnacentral:rRNA from 1 species
GACGAACGCUGGCGGCGUGCUUAACACAUGCGAGUCGAACGGAAAGGCCCUGCUUUUGUGGGGUGCUCGAGUGGCGAACGGGUGAGUAACACGUGAGUAACCUGCCCUUGACUUUGGGAUAGCUUCAGGAAACUGGGGCUAAUACCGGAUAGGAGCUCCUGCUGCAUGGUGGGGGUUGGAAAGUUUCGGCGGUUGGGGAUGGACUCGCGGCUUAUCAGCUUGUUGGUGGGGUAGUGGCUUACCAAGGCUUUGACGGGUAGCCGGCCUGAGAGGGUGACCGGCCACAUUGGGACUGAGAUACGGCCCAGACUCCUACGGGAGGCAGCAGUGGGGAAUAUUGCACAAUGGGCGGAAGCCUGAUGCAGCAACGCCGCGUGCGGGAUGACGGCCUUCGGGUUGUAAACCGCUUUCGCCUGUGACGAAGCGUGAGUGACGGUAAUGGGUAAAGAAGCACCGGCUAACUACGUG